rnacentral:lncRNA from 10 species
GUUUUGGCUAUCCUGGAUACCUUGCAUUUCCAUGUGAAUUUUAGGAUCAGCUUGACCAUUUCUGGAAAAAAAAAGGCCAUUGAAAUUUUAUAGUAAUUAUGCUGAAUAUAUCGAUCAAUUGGGAGGUGCUGUCCUGAUAAAAAUAUAUUGCAAAUGCCUAAGGUACAAGGCGAGAUAUUAAGGCUUCAGUUAAGACAACGACUUUUGAGAAGAGUGGAGAAUGAAAAUGGAAAUAGAGGAGACACUACUGAGGUUACGAGAGAGAGAGAGAGGAAAGUGAAAGCGGGAAA